CUUUAAGUCGAAAACGCGAAUGUUUCCUUAAAUCAGUUAUGGUUCCUUGGAUCGUACCUCACUACUUGGAUAAUUGUGGCAAUUCUAGAGCUAAUACAUGCAGCAGAGCUCCGACCUUCGGGAACGAGCUCUUUUAUCACACCAAAACCAAUCGGGCCUCCGGGUCCGUUCUUUGUGGUGACUCUGUAUAACUUUGGGUUGAUCGCAGGGGCUCCACGUAUCUUUCAAGUGUCUGUCUUAUCAACUGUCGAUGGUAGGUUCUGCGCAUACCAUGGUCGUAACGGGUGACGGGGAAUCAGGGUUCGAUUCCGAAGAGGGAGCCUGAGAAACGGCUACCACAUCCAAGGAAGGCAGCAGGCCCGCAAAUUACCCCCUCCGGAACGGGAGGUAGUGACGAAAAAUAACAAUACGGGACUCUUUUGAGACCCCAUAAUUGGAAUUAGUACACUUUAAAUCCUUUAACGAGUAUUAAUUGGAGGGCAAGUCUGGUGCCAGCAGCCGCGGUAAUUCCAGCUCCAAUAGCGUAUAUUAAAGUUGUCACUGUCUGUGCUCGGCGUUCCCCUGAUGAUCUUCACCGGUUGUCCGACAAGUUUACUUUGAAAAAUUAAAGUUCUCAAAGCAGGCGUGACGCCGAAUAAUGGUGCAUGGAAUAAUGGAAUAAUGGAAUAGGUUCUAUUUUGUUGGUCUUCGGAACACGAGGUAAUGAUCAAAGGGGUCAGAGGUUCGUAUUGCAACGCUAGAGGUGAAAUUCUUGGAAAGCAUUUGCCAAGAAUGUUUCCAUUAAUCAAGAACGAAAGUUGGAGGUUUGA